AGUGAACGCUGGCGGCAGGCCUAACACAUGCAAGUCGAGCGGCAGCACAGUGAGAGCUCGCUCUUUCGGGUGGCGACUGGCGGGUGAGUGCGGAGUAUCUGGCUAUCUACUUUUUCUUGGGUGAUGACGUGGGCACACAUACGCUAAUCCCGCAUACGAACUACGGGUGAAAGCAUGGGAUCUUCGGAUCUUGCGCGAUUCAAUGAGCGGAUGUCGGAUUAGCUAGUUGGUGGGGUAAAGGCCCACCAAGGCGACGAUCCGUAGCUGGUCUGAGAGGAUGAUCAGCCACACUGGAACUGAGACACGGUCCAGACUCCUACGGGAGGCAGCAGUGGGGAAUAUUGGACAAUGGGCGCAAGCCUGAUCCAGCCAUACCGCGUGGGUGAAGAAGGCCUUCGGGUUGUAAAGCCCUUUUGUUGGGAAAGAAAAGCAGUAGGUUAAUACCUCGCUGUUCUGACGGUACCAAAAGAAUAAGCACCGGCUAACUUCGUG
rnacentral:rRNA from 1 species